CAAACAAAGCCAAGAGGUUGUUUAAAACCCGACUUAGCCAUAAAAUCUGCACAGUUUGCCUCGCGUUUAAUAUGCACUAUGUUCAGUUCCCACGGCCAGGAGGAGCAAAGUUUAAUUUGCCGAACCAGUGGAAUACCAUGAAGCUGUAAAUUCGAGUCCUUCAACAGCUUAACCACUGAUGCAUUGUCGCACUCAAUAAUCACUCGACGCAGCCCUUUUGCCACGCCACUCGUAACCCGUCAAGAAC
rnacentral:lncRNA from 1 species